rnacentral:rRNA from 1 species
CUUCCCCAAGAGUCCAUAUCGACGGGAUGGUUUGGCACCUCGAUGUCGGCUCGUCGCAUCCUGGGGCUGGAGUCGGUCCCAAGGGUUGGGCUGUUCGCCCAUUAAAGCGGUACGCGAGCUGGGUUUAGAACGUCGUGAGACAGUUCGGUCCCUAUCCGCUGUGCGCGUAGGAAUAUUGAGAAGGGCUGUCCCUAGUACGAGAGGACCGGGACGGACGAACCUCUGGUGUGCCAGUUGUCCUGCCAAGGGCAUGGCUGGUUGGCUACGUUCGGAAAGGAUAACCGCUGAAAGCAUCUAAGCGGGAAGCCUGCUUCGAGAUGAGUAUUCCCACCAACUUGAUUGGUUAAGGCUCCCAGUAGACGACUGGGUUGAUAGGCCAGAUGUGGAAGCCCUGUAAGGGGUGGAGCUGACUGGUACUAAUAGGCCGAGGGCUUGUCCUCAGUUG